rnacentral:Y_RNA from 1 species
GGCUUGUUUGAGUGCAGUGGUGUUUACAACGAAUUGAUUACAACUAGUUACAGUUUUCUUUGUUCCUUCUCCACUCUCUUUGCUUCACUUGACUAGUACUAU